rnacentral:lncRNA from 1 species
ACAAAACAAUAUAUGGAGCAUAGAAAUAUUACCUGAAGCUUUUGGUUGUGAUAUUUGAGCUAGAGUUUAGAUUAGUGAUCUUGGACAUUGAUUAUGUGUUUGCAAUUUCGCCUUGGGACCUUAAUAAAUUAGAAGUAUUUUUGUCUCAUGAUUUGCAUUUCGUGUCUAUUUUCUCUACAAAAUCUAGAACUCCAGUUCCGAUCAUGAUAUUUGCAUGUCGUUAUUUGUAACUUCACACAAGUUAAUCUCACAAAGAAUCAUAAGUUUUAGAGAUUUUGGAGAGAAGUUUACGAAGUAAGAUGAGCAGGCAUGUGACUUCAUGUACCUUAUUAAAGCAUCCAUGAUAAUGAUUAGCCCUUUCUGACAAAAAUAUAAAAUUAACUCCCAUGUUUCUGCAGGCCCAUUAAAAGGAAAACUUAUCAAUGUUUUUACUAUUUCUCAGUCUCAUGAGUCCCUAAAUUGAGUUUCUGCUCAACGUGGUCUACAUCUUUUGAGGAUACGGAUCGUAAUCCAUCAGAUGCAGGUACAGUAUUUUGAUGUACUUAUAGGAGAUUCUUAAUAAGUUAUUUGAUUCCGUCAAUUGUGUUACAUAUAUUAGCAGUUAAGUAUCUAUGUAAUGUCAUGCGUCCACUUGAUUUAAUUUUUGUGUUGAAAUGCUUUUUUUCUGAAUUGAGAAAUAAUCAAUUUCGGCCAUUAAUUUGCAAAUCCUAAAUACGUGAACGACUCUGAAGUUUCUAUUUUUAAUGAGAUUUGAUGCAGUGUUUUACAUUAUGAUUACAAUGUUGGUUGCAUGAUGAUGGUAUAGCCUUUUCUAUUUCAUUGCACCUGUUCAAGCCUAGAUGGGAGACCUUGGUCCUUCUUUUACUAUGGAAAGAAAGAGAUAAUCACUCCUUACAAUCAGGGAUGAAAUUUUAUCCCGUGAAGAAGGGGCUAGAACACAAGGGCUUUCUGAACUCCAAAUUGAUGUUGUGGUGAUAAGGCAAUUCCUCAGUUUGCUUUCAUGGAGCACACAUAACUAGAUUUGAUACUUCUAUUUCUACUCAAUGCCUCGGCUGGCAUAGUGGCAUAGUUAUAAUUCCUUUUGCGGAUGUACUACUGUAGAUAGUUGCUUCACUUUUAGGAUUUUAGUGUUGGUUAAAGUAACAUUGAUGCCACUUUCUGGUGUUGAUUAUAGUUGCAUGGAUGGUGUAAUGUAGAAUGAGGAUGAAUUGCAGCUACAUAAGUAAACUUUGAUCCAUUCAUUUCAUUCGGCACCUUAUUUCUUUACUAUGGCACUUGAUAAUCACUUGUGCUUUGCAAACAGAUAUAAAUAUUCAGUACUAUAGCCCAUAAUUUAUCUAUAAAUGCUUAUCUAAUCCUGCCCGUGAUUUACAUACCUAAAUAAGUUUUAGGAUUUUAUAUGAUAAUCACUUAUUUUACUUAUUUUAUUGUAGCACAGUUCCGACGGUUCGCAAGUAUGACCGGUGAUAAACAAUCUGAGAUAUCAGGGGGAAAAUAUCCAAACUGAGAGACGAAGGGGGUACAAUAGGUAAGGUUGGAUGAAGCACGCUCCCUGAUAGGAGAAUGAAUUCGACUUUUUUUCCAAGUACCAGAAAUUUGUAUAUAAGAAUAAAUAUGACCUAAACAACACAAUGCUGACUUUUAAUUUAUGUCAAUCCUUUUAAUUUAUGAUUAACAUUUGCCCG